GCAUUUUCAGCUUGUGAAAGGCGAGCAUCCAUGUGUGGUGGAGCUCUAGGCCUAAACCUGUAGUUCCACAAGCCAAUUACAAACAGGUAGAGGAAAAUUGUUGGCAAAAUGAGUUCUGGAUAGCAAAUCAAUAUCAAGAAGAGCACAUGGACAAGAAUAGUCGUCAAAGGGUUUCUCCAAUUGCAAAUCCCAUUAAACCAUCCAUGAACUGCAGAAAUCCCAGAAAGCAGUCCCAUUAUGCGAAAGAAAUUAGCUUUGCUUCUUCUGAGACUGAACAUAUGGUAAUCCACAUCCAGCAUAUACUCGACAACCUCCUUUCUAAGAGGUGGCUCAGCCCUGACCAGCCUUGCAGCUACUAUCUGCAUUGCCUGGUGGCGCAACCAAUCAAUAUGCCUAACGGAAAUGGGUUGCACAUAAUGCAUUUUCGGGAGCAAUGGCCUCCCAUAUUGUGCUACCAUGUUCACCCAAGCAGUACAAGUGAACCUUAUGGCCAAAUGAAGCUCUCCAUGUUUCCUUAAACCAGAAGGUGUAAGAACCAGCAACGGAUAAAAAUGUGUAUAGAUCCGAUCAGUUUCCAAAGUCGAUAACCUAAUUCUCACCUUACCAAUUCUCUGAUCUCUAGCUUCAUCUUUGCCAUUGAUGUGACAAUUGUCAAAGACCCCAAUGGUGACAACGGUACACGGAUCAAACACUUCCCAAGAGAACUGCUCAUUCCAUCGAGGAGCCAGAGUGUCAAUGAGUGUUCUUGUUCGAACCCAUUUAUUCCCAUACUUAGCAACACAAUAUGAAUCUGUUAUUCGACCCUCUUUACUCUUCAUUGGCAUCAGAUUCUUGGCACUGAGAAUACCUAAUUCAAGAAGUCCAAUACUCGGCUUUCUCAAGAACUUCGAUGAUGGUUGAAGAUCACUGCUAAAAUGUGUGGACUCAUCAAGAACAUGGUAACCAGCAUCUAUCCAAAUUCUAAGGUGAAUCUUGCUAGAGAACUUCACUUCUUUCUUCUUCUCGUCAUCAUCUGCCGCAUGAGAAGGCUUGAGAAGAUUGAACCAUAUAGCAUCUGGUAACUUAGAGUUAUCAACUCUGGUUGGAAUAUUCUUAAAUGAUAUCAUAGCCCUGCCAAUCAAUUCAUCUUUCCCUGGUCCAACUCUAUCCACGACAUCUAUUAUCAAAUACUCCUCAAAAGGUUCAGAUGCAACAAACAUUAGCUCCUCAUUCCACACCGGGUUAAUGUGUCUCAUCGGGGAGGGCUUGGUAGUCCUUGACUGGUGCCCAAGCUGUAACUUGGCAUAAGCCUCGGGCAUCCGGCUUCUAUCUGAUGGCAGAAGAUCCUGAGCUUCAAUAACAUGAACUCUUAGAUAAUAUAAUUUAGGUGAGAAAUACACUUUGGAUCGCGUAUUAACCAAAUUUUGUUGACUAGCCAUAUGAG
rnacentral:misc_RNA from 1 species